rnacentral:tRNA from 1 species
GCCGGGAUGGCGGAAUCGGUAGACGCAGCGGACUCAAAAUCCGCCGCUGGCAACAGCGUGGGGGUUCGAUUCCCCCUCCCGGCACCA